GCUCCAGUGGCGUAAUUGGUCAGCGCGCGGUACUAAUAAUGCCGAGGUUGUGAGUUCAAGCCUCAUCUGUAGCG